GUCUUUAAGAUUUUAAUUUAAAGUCUAAUCUGCCCAAUGAAUUUUUUUUAAUGGCUGCAGAAUUCUAACUGUACUAAGGUAGCAUAAUAAUUUGUUUUUUAAUUAAAAACUAGAAUGAAAGAUUUAAUGAAAUAUAAACUGUUUCAAUUAAUUUUUUUUAAUUUUUUAUUUAAGUAAAAAAACUUAAAUAAAUUUUAAAGACGACAAGACCCUAUAGAAUUUUAUUUAUUAAAUUUAAUUUUUUAAUUUAAUAAAUUUUAUUGGGGUAAUAAAAAAAAUAAUUUAAUUUUUUUUUAAAAAAACAUUUUUUAAUGAAUUCUUUAUCUUAAUUUUUAAAUUAAAAAAAUUAAUUACCUUAGGGAUAACAGCAUAAUUUUUUUUAAAAGAUCAUAUUUAUAAAAAAGAUUAU
rnacentral:rRNA from 1 species